UCAGGAUGAACGCUGGCGGCGUGCUUAACACAUGCAAGUCGAACGGGAAUACUUUUAGUCUUGCUAAGUUGUAAUUCUAGUGGCGGACGGGUGAGUAACGCGUGGGUAACCUGCCUUAUACCGGGGGACAACAGUUGGAAACGACUGCUAAUACCGCAUAAGCGCACAGUUUUGCAUGAAACAGUGUGAAAAAACUCCGGUGGUAUAAGAUGGACCCGCGUCUGAUUAGCCAGUUGGCGGUGUAACGGACCACCAAAGCGACGAUCAGUAGCCGGCCUGAGAGGGUGAACGGCCACAUUGGGACUGAGACACGGCCCAAACUCCUACGGGAGGCAGCAGUGGGGAAUAUUGCACAAUGGAGGAAACUCUGAUGCAGCGACGCCGCGUGAGUGAAGAAGUAUUUCGGUAUGUAAAGCUCUAUCAGCAGGAAAGAAAAUGACGGUACCUGACUAAGAAGCCCCGGCUAACUACGUGCCAGCAGCGGC
rnacentral:rRNA from 1 species